rnacentral:rRNA from 1 species
UACGAAGGGGGCUAGCGUUGUUCGGAAUUACUGGGCGUAAAGCGCACGUAGGCGGAAUGUUAAGUCAGGGGUGAAAUCCCGGGGCUCAACCCCGGAACUGCCUUUGAUACUGGCAUUCUCGAGUCCGGAAGAGGUGAGUGGAAUUCCGAGUGUAGAGGUGAAAUUCGUAGAUAUUCGGAAGAACACCAGUGGCGAAGGCGACAUACUGGUCCAUUACUGACGCUGAGGCUCGAAAGCGUGGGGAGCAAACAGG